rnacentral:rRNA from 1 species
GACGGAGGAUGCAAGUGUUAUCCGGAAUCACUGGGCGUAAAGCGUCUGUAGGUGGUUUAAUAAGUCAACUGUUAAAUCUUGAGGCUCAACCUCAAAAUCGCAGUCGAAACUAUUAGGCUAGAGUAUAGUAGGGGUAAAGGGAAUUUCCAGUGGAGCGGUGAAAUACGUAGAGAUUGGAAAGAACACCGAUGGCGAAGGCACUUUACUGGGCUAUUACUAACACUCAGAGACGAAAGCUAGGGUAGCAA